UUUUCACUCUGUUCAAGUGUUUGUUUUCCUCUGUUGCCCAGCAGUCGUACGAUUUGUCCUGACGUGUCCUGACAUGCCCCGAUAUGCAUGCUUUCCUUUGUUGACGCUUAGUAUUUUUUUCUCUUUUGACAAGGAACAUUGUUGUCUUGACGAUAGUGCUGUCCUGAGUUCUGCGCUCCUGGUUACCCGUACUCUGUGUUGAUUUGUUGAGUGCCUAGUCCUCUUAUUUGUCGUUGAUGGAGUUACGUGUUAGGAUAUUUUGUUCUUUUGCAAGUCUCAUUUAGUAAGACUUUGGAAUUCCUACGAUCAGCUUUCAUGCAUGGUGCUCUUCUGCAAUAGUUUCCUAUGCAAUCGUUAUAGAAGAAUAAAGGAAAUAAUCUUGGGAUAGUGAUUCAAUAAAUAAUAGGUCCCCUGUCUAGAGCGCACGCGUCCUUGAGCCACGCAGGUGCAUGAUGACGUCAUACCGUGGCUUCACUGCAGAUUGACCUUGUCUAGAGGAGCAUUAGUGGAAAAAAACAGUGUAGCCCUGAGACAAUAGGAUGAUGUCUGGACCAAUGAGAACUGCCAGCAGGGGGCGCAGGAAUGCUCUUCUCACUUAGCCUCUCGCAGGUGGCGGUAGGAGCGCGCAGAGGGCGCUACGAGCGCGCGCAUGCGUAGCACCCGUAGAGUGGCGCUUACGUCAGUCCACCUCUGGCUCUCGUUGGGAGAAGACGUGUGGUCGUUCGCUCCGUCGUCACUUGAUCCCUGGCUGUCGACGAGAGCAGUCGCAUCGGUCUGCGCUCCUACUGUGGUGAGGUGAUUUGUUGUGUAACUAAUGCUUUCGCCAACUUUGGAGUCAGUUCUCUGCCUGCCUCUCGGAUGGAGCAGUCGCAUCGUUCUGCGCUCCUGUUGUGGUGGGAUCAUUUGUUGUGUAACUAGUUCUAUUUUCUUGUGAGCUAUUGAUGGUUUGCAUACUCUUGCUUUCCCAGCCUCUGUAUUACGAGUGUUUUUCUCCUUGCAUGUCCAGAGCUGUCCUAACUUGCCCAGACAUGCCAUGAUGACGUCACAGCUGACGUCACAGGAUGUCCGGAACUGGUGCUGCGAUGCUUUGCAACCUGCCUCCGUGCUCCGUCGCCCAGCGACAGUCAGCGGCCGUUCCGGGCCGCUUUCUACAAGAUGGCGUCAACUAAACUCCUUCUCUCCACUCUAUCUCUAUCUUUUCAUUUUAUUUUCUACCUAUUUUUUUAUUUUUUAUCAGCUCAACUAGCCCACAACUCACACAGUGGUCUGGACACGUCCUAGAUGCGCCCCAAUUAGUGUAAUGACUCCCUGGUGGGUCCUAAUUACUGUGGGGGGUCCCAAUUAGCUCUAAUUGCUCAUUAAUGGCGUCCAGGCCACUGUGUGAGUUGUGGGCCAGUUGAGCUGAUACACUACUGCACGCAAGCUUUAUAUCACACCGUUUCGUAGUAGAAUUGAUUCGUUUAAAUUUUCUUUUUUCCCGACGACAAUAACUGAUUGGAGCAGUGUUACGUCGUCUGAAUCUGUUGCUGAUUUUAUGUCCAGUAUUCAGGAUCAUUUGUAGUGUUGCUCUUGGCUGAUGCUCUUGUUUUGUUCCACUCCUACUUGGGCCUCCAAGAGGGGACCACUAGUGUUCCAAAUAAAUAAAUAAAGAAACCUCAACAAAUUUAAUUUUAGGGGCCUUCCGGUGUUGAAGUGGCGUCAGACUGCUUCGUGUGUGUGUGAUCUAGGCACUCAAGUUGACAUGACAGAAAUAGCUGAAAGCAGGUGCAGAACAUAGUAUGACGUCAACAAUAUAGGAGAAGAAACCGAUGAGAACUACUAGCUUCUUUGAAGGGUAGAGGAAUACUUCCUGUUGAGGUAUAGUUAUUACUAAGGAAUCCUAAUUAAUUUUCGAGAGGUGCAUCCUCUACACUUGAAUCCCCAAUGAAAGAGUGAAAGUUCGUUGUCUUUGAAGCCCCACUACUGGAAUUGUUCAAAGCGUGUCGCAGCUACAGCGAGCCAAGCAAGGUUACCACAUCAUAUCGGUCCUAAAUUUGCAGAGUUCCCCUAUCUCGGACACAUGACCAGAAUUCAGGGACAUGAAACAGAAAGCCGGCUUCGCGGGAUAGCAGAGAACCAUGCAAGAAAGCCGACUUGACAGAUUUGCACGAGGAUAUGGGAGGAGGAAAAAUUCGGGGAGGGACGAGGAGGAGAGAUAAGGAAGAGAACUUUUAACGUCUUCUGCACGGCAAUAACACUGUGGGCACGCACGAGAGCUCGUGCUCAGGUAAAAAGAAAAACACAACGCGUGACUCAGAAUUUAAAUCAAGCCUUUUCUGUUGGUUGAAUGUCGUUGCGAAAUCAAAAAUCGCGCUAUAGAAGCUCUCCCGAUUCUAGCUUCUCAGAGAUUAAUGUGCUUCUCCAUACGUUGCAUGAACGCUGCCUUUUUCUACUCAUUCUUUUAGUUUUUUGUUCUGUCGAAUAAAUCUUCAAUUGAGAAGUUGCUACCAUCACGCUGUCUACUGUGUUUGCCCCUCAUCUAUAUUGAUGUGCUAUAAUGGUAUAGCACCAUCAACAUGCCAACAACAUACCAACAACCUACCAACAACAACCGGACAACCUUGCCUUACCCUAUCAACAUGCCAAAUCUUUUUUGUGCUGCAGAUCAUAACUUCAAAAAGUUUUCCUCUGCACCCUGCCACGAGUGUAAAGUGUAGGGUAGUCCUACUUCUGGAUGGAAACUACACGAUGUGGUAACAUCCACAUAUCUAAAAUUUUAGUCGACGAGGAUUUGCUGUUUUUGUACAACCUUCAUUGUACAUUUCUUUUUUCUCACGUAGCACACGUGAAGAAAAGUUCUCAUCUUCAUCACGAUGACGGGUCAUUGUUGGAUCAUUCUGCAGCAUUAUUCCUCCUGUACUCUUUCCAUCAACAGAGAAUACAAAAGUGCACAAAUGGUCUUACAACUUUGUCAAGUACGUCAAAACAUCAGAGGGCAGAAAGUCCCACUCUGUCUCCUAAAUGCCUGGACAAUAAAAAAGAAAAAUAUA